CAGUGAUGUCGACAAGCUCCUUGCUGGCCGCUGGACCAUAACAUAACCAUAUUUAAGACAGUGCUCCGCUUCAAGCAACUGCUGCAGUUUAUCAAAAGCAGGAAAUGUGAUCUACGGUUGAGAUCAGCAGCAUGCUUCAUAUUCUCGAACUCAAAGUGCAAAUCGACUGACGAAAUUCCAAAGUUGUAAAGGACUAAUUUCUAAGAGUUGAAGCAGAAAUAUUGGGAGCUUGUUCACAAAGUCAAACAAUCUAAUAUGUAGCUUUAGACUUCGCUGAUAUGUUGAGCUCUAUCUCUUUGUUACAAUUUAAAUGUAAAUAUACUCGAUUGUAAGUCCGUGUUUUUAUUAGAACGAACAAAAAUGAAGACAAAAAACUAAAGUAUAAUUCAUAUUUAUUCAUAACCUUCAAUGAAUCUACCCUGAGAUCUGUUGCUCAUUUUCCAGAUUUUUGUGUCUUAACAAGUUCGAUUGUAUCACGUUUCGUUUGAUCUUCCUUUUUAGGUCGAUAGAGAGACAACUUAGUUAGAGAUAUCCAAAAGGCGCGAAAUAUACGAAUGGACCAGCCAUAUUUUGAAUACAAAAUGUAAGGAUUAGCAAUGAUGUCUAGAAUAAAGUGAAUAAUUUUGAAAACGAAAACUCCGCUAAACCAGCAGCAACACCACCAACACACCACCAAUACCAACCCGAACCAUGAAAACGGGCCCCAAAUUAAUGACCAUAUAUCUGGGAACAGUUGGUUCUGUACGUAGCCAACUAAGAAACUUUUAACGUCGACUGAUCCUUGCAUGCCGCUGGAAAUUUGUUGAGAUAGUGUCGCUGUUUGAACUUUUGUCUCCUUGGGGUUAAUGAUUCGUUCUUGCAUCGCGUCCAAGUCCUCCUGUAUAUUCCACUGCCAUUAGGUUCGCUUGAUUUUCGUAAGUCCACGUCAUUUCAGAGCUUGGUUUCAACUUCAUCGGCUCAUUAGUAUCCACUCGAUAUCUUCCUUCCAGCUUGUAGUGCUCCAGCAGCGGCAGGUUGCACGAAAUUUCGUUGGCGUUCUUAGUGAGGAUGUGGGUCCGCGGCAUCAGAAACAUACUGGGAUUCCUUUUGUCAAUCGGUAGUCGAUUGUAGCAUUUAUAAACAUGUCUGUAUGUCACUUCAACUGGCACACACUGCAUAAUGUGUACCACCUCCCCAGCCAAAACUGCCAUUUAACCCGGACCUUCCAUAUAUCUGAACGCAAAUUCGUCUUGCUGGGUCGAAGCGAUUGCCAAAGUGUUUUUCCAGAAUUUCCUUCUCCAGUUUGCAGUAGUGCCUCAUAACGUCUGAUAGAGAGACGUUACUUGCGAGCGUAUAUGCUUUUCGACAUAGACGAAUUUCGCGUUGACAUACUGGAAAAUAUCCAUGUUCUCAACGUUUAUGUUUCCAGUUAUAAUUUUUCCUAGGUGGCCCAUAUUGUUACUGUCUACGAUGAACACCUUAGGAGAUUGUGUUUUCAGAAGUGUAACGACGUGCAAUGAAAAUAUGUAACGUGGUUCGAUCAAAUGACUCAGCUUCAGUCUUGAAUUUUACGCAAACUCUUUUCUUAAUCAAUCUUGAAUUCCCGAAUAUUUCCGCUGAAGAUAAAUACAGUACAGCGUCGAUUGUCUUUUAGUGAAUUUCAGACCACUAGGUAUUUUAAAUAUAAGCUUUUCUAUUUGAAAACUUUAGAUGAGGUAGUAACCUGCCAUCUAUGGUUCUCUACUCUCUGGACGUAGUUCUAAGCAAAGCCUUCGAAUUUUCCAAUACUUGUCUAUGAAUCAUCAACGGCCAACGGAUAAUUAGCGCUUAUCGUUAGAGUUAUGCGGUCUUAUAACUCUCAUACGACGUAAUUCGCGGCAGGCCACAAAGAACAUACUGUUGUGAUUGUGGUGGAGCUUGUUUGUUGCACGAAAUUUCGUUGGCGUUCUUAGUGAGCAUGUGGGUCCGAGGCAUCAGAAACAUACACAUACUGGGAUUCCCUUUGUCAAUCGGUAGUCGAUUGUAGCAUUUAUAAACAUGUCUGUAUGUCACUUCAACUGGCACACACUGCACAAUGUGUACCACCUCCCCAGCCAAAACUGCCAUUUAACCCGGACCUUCCAUAUAUCUGAACGCAAAUUCGUCUGGCUUGGUCGAAGCGAUUGCCAAAGUGUUUUUCCAGAAUUUCCUUCUCCAGUUUGCAGUAGUGCCUCAUAACGUCUGAAUAGAGAGACGUUACUUGCGAGCGUAUAUGCUUUUCGACAUAGACGAAUUUCGCGUUGACAUACUGGAAAAUAUUCAUGUUUUCAAAGUUUAUUUUUCCAGUUAUAGUUUUUCCUAGGUGGCCCAUAUUGUUACUGUCUACGAUGAACAGCUUAGGUGAUUCUGUUUUCAGAAGUGUUACUGACGUGCAAUGAAAAUAUGUAACGUGGUACGAUCAAAUGACUCAGCUUCAGUCUUGAAUUUUACGCAAACUCUUUUCUCAAUAAAUCUUGAAUUCCCGAAUAUUUCCGCUGAAGAUAAAUACAGUACAGCGUCGAUUGUCUUUUAGUGAAUUUCAGACCACUAGGUAUUUUAAAUAUAAGCUUUUCUAUUUGAAAACUUUAGAUGAGGUAGUAACCUGCCAUCUAUGGUUCUCUACUCUCUGGACGUAGUUCUAAGCAAAGCCUUCGAAUUUUCCAAUACUUGUCUAUGAAUCAUCAACGGCCAACGGAUAAUUAGCGCUUAUCGUUAGAGUUAUGCGGUCUUAUAACUCUCAUACGACGUAAUUCGCGGCAGGCCACAAAGAACAUACUGUUGUGAUUGUGGUGGAGCUUGUUUGUUGCACGAAAUUUCGUUGGCGUUCUUAGUGAGCAUGUGGGUCCGAGGCAUCAGAAACAUACACAUACUGGGAUUCCCUUUGUCAAUCGGUAGUCGAUUGUAGCAUUUAUAAACAUGUCUGUAUGUCACUUCAACUGGCACACACUGCACAAUGUGUACCACCUCCCCAGCCAAAACUGCCAUUUAACCCGGACCUUCCAUAUAUCUGAACGCAAAUUCGUCUGGCUUGGUCGAAGCGAUUGCCAAAGUGUUUUUCCAGAAUUUCCUUCUCCAGUUUGCAGUAGUGCCUCAUAACGUCUGAAUAGAGAGACGUUACUUGCGAGCGUAUAUGCUUUUCGACAUAGACGAAUUUCGCGUUGACAUACUGGAAAAUAUUCAUGUUCUCAACGUUUAUUUUUCCAGUUAUAGUUUUUCCUAGGUGGCCCAUAUUGUUACUGUCUACGAUGAACAGCUUAGGUGAUUCUGUUUUCAGAAGUGUUACUGACGUGCAAUGAAAAUAUGUAACGUGGUUCGAUCAAAUGACUCAGCUUCAGUCUUGAAUUUUACGCAAACUCUUUUCUCAAUAAAUCUUGAAUUCCCGAAUAUUUCCGCUGAAGAUAAAUACAGUACAGCGUCGAUUGUCUUUUAGUGAAUUUCAGACCACUAGGUAUUUUAAAUAUAAGCUUUUCUAUUUGAAAACUUUAGAUGAGGUAGUAACCUGCCAUCUAUGGUUCUCUACUCUCUGGACGUAGUUCUAAGCAAAGCCUUCGAAUUUUCCAAUACUUGUCUAUGAAUCAUCAACGGCCAACGGAUAAUUAGCGCUUAUCGUUAGAGUUAUGCGGUCUUAUAACUCUCAUACGACGUAAUUCGCGGCAGGCCACAAAGAACAUACUGUUGUGAUUGUGGUGGAGCUUGUUUGUUGCACGAAAUUUCGUUGGCGUUCUUAGUGAGCAUGUGGGUCCGAGGCAUCAGAAACAUACACAUACUGGGAUUCCCUUUGUCAAUCGGUAGUCGAUUGUAGCAUUUAUAAACAUGUCUGUAUGUCACUUCAACUGGCACACACUGCACAAUGUGUACCACCUCCCCAGCCAAAACUGCCAUUUAACCCGGACCUUCCAUAUAUCUGAACGCAAAUUCGUCUGGCUUGGUCGAAGCGAUUGCCAAAGUCUUUUUCCAGAAUUUCCUUCUCCAGUUUGCAGUAGUGCCUCAUAACGUCUGAAUAGAGAGACGUUACUUGCGAGCGUAUAUGCUUUUCGACAUAGACGAAUUUCGCGUUGACAUACUGGAAAAUAUUCAUGUUCUCAACGUUUAUUUUUCCAGUUAUAGUUUUUCCUAGGUGGCCCAUAUUGUUACUGUCUACGAUGAACAGCUUAGGUGAUUCUGUUUUCAGAAGUGUUACUGACGUGUAAUGAAAAUAUGUAACGUGGUUCGAUCAAAUGACUCAGCUUCAGUCUUGAAUUUUACGCAAACUCUUUUCUCAAUAAAUCUUGAAUUCCCGAAUAUUUCCGCUGAAGAUCAACGGCCAACGGAUAAUUAGCGCAUAGCGGCAGGUUGCACGAAAUUUUGUUGGCGUUCUUAGUGAGGAUGUGGGUCCGCGGCAUCAGAAACAUACUGGGAUUCUCUUUGUCAAUCGGUAGUCGAUUGUAGCAUUUAUAAACAUGUCUGUAUGUCACUUCAACUGGCACUCACUGCACAAUGUGUACCACUUCCCCAGCCAAAACUACCAUUUAACCCGGACCUUCUAUAUAUCUGAACGCAAAUUCGUGAGGCUGGGUCGAAACGAUUGCCAAAGUGUUUAUCUAGAAUUUCCUUCUCCAGUUUGCAGUAGUGCCUCAUAACGUCUGAAUAGAGAGAAGUUACUUGUGAGCGUAUAUGCUUUUCGACAUAGACGAAUUUCGCGUUGACAUACUGGAAAAUAUCCAUGUUAGCUACGUUUAUUUUUCCAGUUAUAAUUUUUCCUAGGUGACCCAAAUUGUUACUGUCUACGUUCAGUUCAGUUCAGUUUCUAUAUUGGUAAAAAAUAUUUUACUGGUCACACAGGUACAUUUGAAAUUAUGCUAGAUAUACAUAAUUGUAGAUAAAAAUUAACAGGUGAAAGUUUACGGUUCCUUAAUUUAAAAAAAUAAUCUCGCAAUAGUUAUUUUAAAUUAUCUCCUUGACGAUACGAUGAAUAGCUUAGGUGAUUCUGUUUUCAGAAGUGUUUCAUCACACAAGGACUCUAAUCCAAUUGCGGUGAGCGAGAAACUGGUUCUUCGUUCGAAACUAGUUUAGUAGCUGAUCCCUUAUAUAACGGAGAGUAGCUAUGAGAAUCACAUUUCUCUUUCGGCUGUGGAUCCCAGAAUAUAUAACCUCCGACAGGGUCGAUGCAUUCUCCUUUGGAAAGCUUGCACGAGUAUCCUGAAGGCAAAAAUAUUUUUUCUUCUUCCACCUUAACUUUUGCCACGUUCGAAUUUAGAGUUAUUAACGCGGUUCCCAGUGACAGUUACGCCAUCCUAAGAUCCGUAGGGAUCUUCACAGUGGGAGCCACUACAACUACCAUCAGACUUGAUGGUACCACCGGAUGGAAUCACGCGCCUGUUAAUCUGAUUCGGCGUUAGAUCAGCCAUACUGACACCCUUCAAGUUUAAUGCGCCAAAUUUUUCUAUGUAUCAUAAAAGACCACUUGACACAAGGGAGCUAUGUGAAAACAUUCCACAGUGGUUGAUAGUUCUGCUGAUUUCAACUUUGCAUUGAGAGAUUUUCACGCUUUCAUAUUCGUUUAGUUGCUAUUACUUCGGAAGAUUUAGAGUGUAGCUUUUUCGAGAUUUAUUGCUUGAUUUGCUACAAUUGGGUAAUUUGAAAAUUAACCAAAAAAUUUAACUGCGCGACAUACACGUUCGAUUUGAUGCUUAAACCGAAAAUGGUAUACACUGCAGCCACUAACCUGAGAGAGCUGAUGAUGGAAGUUGGAAUCUUGGAGUCCACCCGGUCAAGGUGAACUGCAGGGUCUCCUUUCACGUUUCUCACACGGUUUUAGAGAGUUUCGUAUGCCGGCCGGCGGGAAUAAACACUAUGGAACACUAAGUAUCUCAAUUUUGGACAUUCCAUUAGAAUACGUUUGGAGGUACGUUGAGAUUUUAAAAUGGAGUCACCGAGAAGACUAAACUUCGGUGUGAGUUGUCUUGCUUGCGCACUGGUUGCGUGUUGAUCUUGCAUCAUCGGAAAGCAUCGGGAAUGUACUGAUGGCGUGAAAGUUUGAAAAUACUUAUAUUUAAAACAUGAACAAUAUGGUUGUCAUAUUCUUGAAUGCGACUGUCACAAUCGGCGUCUUCAGACCGCAAUCUCAUUGUAAACAUGAAAAUCGAUAGUAUUCCCAUAUCUGAAACAAUAAAUAGUUUAAUAGGGUUUAAAGCCGUCACGAAAACUCACUACUUUGGUCCAUAUACAUUCGGUGACUUGGAAAUUGCAAUUACAGUUUACUUUGAGCUUUGGGUUGUGCAAUUGAAGUCCUGCCAACAUAAUGCUGUGUAAGAACGUCACUAGCAAUUAUGUCUUUAUUUGUUGAAAACAUCCAGAACCAUUUUCCAUGUCCUUAAGCCAUCGCAACGGGACGACUUUGUAAGGGUGGAGAAAGUAAGACCUUACCAAUUUUUCUUGAAUUAUACUACCGUGUUAUAAAAUUAUAAGUUACAUGUUUACUGGCAAUACGAGUACUUGCUCCGUUUUUAACAAUUUGCGUUUUAUAAAAGUACUGUGUUGGAAUUUUACAGGUUACAGGUACAAGUGCCUGUAGCUCAACCAUAGACGAAAACAUGGGAGUUUAAUAGUUUUAAACUCAUAAUCGAACAAGCGUUUUAUAACAAUAAGUAGUGGUUCAGAAAAAAAAUAGCAGCACAUUAUGCGGAUUUUUCAUUUUAUUUAGUGAUAACUUAUAAGUAGCGCAUUUUUGUAGUAAUCCGUACAUACUAUUCUAUACAGUUAAAUACAAUCGUAUUUCGCCUUUUAUUACAUGUCUACUAAGACUUUUUGAGCAGCGUCUUCUGAGAGAAUUUAUGAGGUGUUUCUCAUAAACAUAGUUUUUUCUUUAAGUUUGAUAAUAAUAAGCUACUUAAUACGAGUACAUUAUUAAAUAGUCUUAUGUUCGAUGUUGCACUUAUUUGAUUUGACUUCACUUUGAGGUAGUUGCAUGGAAUUUCCAUUUUUGUGUAUUAGCGAUUUUUACAGAAAUUUGUCUCCCAUAGAAACACCUCUGUGAGAGGUUAGAUUGGAGACACUUCCUGACUACCUACCGAAGAUGAACUCUAGUUUAUUGGUAUAAUUUGCUCGUAAGAUGGUAUUCCUAAAAGCAUACAACUAAUUGUGAAAAUUUAAAUUCAAGCGUAGCAUUGUGGAAAACGGCAAGUAAAGAUUGUCAAAUUGUGUUGUACAAAAAGUUACGAAGUACAUUGCAAUAAAAAUGAGAAAACUUAAACAAUCUGAUAUUUCUCAAUAUGAUUUUAUUGUUAUUAUAUAGUAUUUUAUCUACAGAUUACUGAAAAAAAUAAACUGCUUCAUAAUUAGUAAAAAAAAAAA